GGCAGUUUUGGUAUUUCAAUUGGAAGUGCGUUGGAUUCAUAAUCCAAGGGUGGCGGUUUCGAUACCUGCUCAGGCCA